UUGAUUAAUCUGCAUAAAAAAUUGUGUCCCAAUCUUGAUCUUUUGCGAGCUCUAAUAGUAUAGUUUUUUGAUUAAUAUGCAUUAUAAAUGGUUGAUCUAUGACAACAGGAGUAGUUCUCUAUGGAAUUUGAUUGCCUGAAAUUUUUUUCUUUUGCAGAUUUAGAAAGGGCACAUAUAAGUUAGUGUGCUUGCAGCGCAUCAUGGCUCAUCAUCAGCUCCUGUCGCGAGCUCCCGGAAAAAACGAGUGGAAACUCGCUUGGGCGUUGUUGUUGCCGCUGUCAGCCCACCGCCACUGCCUCUCCUGCAUGUGCUCCUCCAACACUGUUGGCAAAUCCAGGGAAGUUGAAUUUGCUUAAGGAGAACCCACAGCGUGACUUCCCCAGGAGCAGCUUUAGACUAGUCUUAGACUAUUGGCAUUUGAUUGAUUUCUAAAAAAA